rnacentral:tRNA from 1 species
GUUUUGGACGGUUCAGUGGCUGAAUUCUCGCCUUCUAUGCAGAAGACCCAGGUUUGAUUCCUGGUCAAAGCA